rnacentral:rRNA from 1 species
AACGAACGCUGGCGGCAUGCCUAACACAUGCAAGUCGAACGAGACCUUCGGGUCUAGUGGCGCACGGGUGCGUAACGCGUGGGAACCUGCCCUUAGGUUCGGAAUAACUCCCCGAAAGGGGUGCUAAUACCGGAUAAUGUCUUCGGACCAAAGAUUUAUCGCCUUUGGAUGGGCCCGCGUUGGACUAGCUAGUUGGUAGGGUAAAAGCCUACCAAGGCGACGAUCCAUAGCUGGUCUGAGAGGAUGAUCAGCCACACUGGGACUGAGACACGGCCCAGACUCCUACGGGAGGCAGCAGUGGGGAAUAUUGGACAAUGGGCGAAAGCCUGAUCCAGCAAUGCCGCGUGAGUGAUGAAGGCCUUAGGGUUGUAAAGCUCUUUUACCCGGGAUGAUAAUGACAGUACCGGGAGAAUAAGCGCCGGCUAACUCCGUG